rnacentral:rRNA from 1 species
UACGUAGGGACCGAGCGUUGUCCGGAUUCAUUGGGCGUAAAGAGCUCGUAGGCGGCUGUUCAAGUCGAACGUGAAAACUCGGAGCUCAACUCCGAGCCUGCGUUCGAUACUGGACGGCUAGAGUCUGGUAGGGGGAUCUGGAAUUCCUGGUGUAGCGGUGGAAUGCGCAGAUAUCAGGAGGAACACCGAUGGCGAAGGCAGGUCUCUGGGCUGACACUGACGCUCAUGCACGAAAGCGUGGGGAGCAAACAGG